rnacentral:rRNA from 1 species
UACGUAGGGUGCAAGCGUUAUCCGGAAUUAUUGGGCGUAAAGAGCUCGUAGGCGGCUUGUCACGUCGGAUGUGAAAGCCCGGGGCUUAACUCCGGGUCUGCAUUCGAUACGGGCUGGCUAGAGUGUGGUAGGGGAGAUCGGAAUUCCUGGUGUAGAGGUGAAAUGCGCAGAUAUCAGGAGGAACACCGGUGGCGAAGGCGGAUCUCUGGGCCAUUACUGACGCUGAGGAGCGAAAGCGUGGGGAGCGAACAGG